AUUGAACGCUGGCGGCAGGCCUAACACAUGCAAGUCGAACGGUAACAGGAAACAGCUUGCUGUUUCGCUGACGAGUGGCGGACGGGUGAGUAAUGUCUGGGAAACUGCCUGAUGGAGGGGGAUAACUACUGGAAACGGUAGCUAAUACCGCAUAACGUCGCAAGACCAAAGAGGGGGACCCUCGGGCCUCUUGCCAUCGGAUGUGCCCAGAUGGGAUUAGCUUGUUGGUGGGGUAACGGCUCACCAAGGCGACGAUCCCUAGCUGGUCUGAGAGGAUGACCAGCCACACUGGAACUGAGACACGGUUCAGACUCCUACGGGAGGCAGCAGUGGGGAAUAUUGCACAAUGGGCGCAAGCCUGAUGCAGCCAUGCCGCGUGUAUGAAGAAGGCCUUCGGGUUGUAAAGUACUUUCAGCGGGGAGGAAGGGAGUAAAGUUAAUACCUUUGCUCAUUGACGUUACCCGCAGAAGAAGCACCGGCUAACUCCGUG
rnacentral:rRNA from 1 species